AGUGAACGCUGGCGGCGUGCCUAACACAUGCAAGUCGAGCGAAGCGGCAGCUGUAGCAAUACAGUAUGUGCUUAGCGGCAGACGGGUGAGUAACACGUAGGUAACCUUCCUUACAGAGGGGGAUAGCUCGCCGAAAGGCGAGGUAAUACCCCGUAAGAUCAAGCUUCGGCAUCGGAGUUUGAUGAAACGCCCGCAAGGGUGGCUGUGAGACGGGCCUGCGGCCAUCAGCUAGUUGGUGAGGUAACGGCUCACCAAGGCUACGACGGGUAACCGACCUGAAAGGGUGAACGGUCACACUGACACUGAGACACGGGUCAGACUCCUACGGGAGGCAGCAGUGAGGAAUCUUGGACAAGUGGGGCAACCCCGAUCCAGCGACGCCGCGUGA
rnacentral:rRNA from 1 species